rnacentral:misc_RNA from 1 species
AGCAGCCGCGGUAAUUCCAGCUCCAAUAGCGUAUAUUAAAGUUGUUGCAGUUAAAAAGCUCGUAGUUGAAUUUCGGGAUCAGUUGGUCGGUCGUGCCUCGGUACGUACUGGUCAAAUUGAUUCCUACCUUCUGACGAACCACGAUGUCAUUAAUUUGGUGUCGCGGGAAAUCAGGACUGUUACUUUGAAAAAUUAGAGUGUUUAAAGCAGGCUCGCGCUUGAAUACAUUAGCAUGGAAUAAUGAAAUAGGACGUUUGAUUCUAUUUUGUUGGUUUCUAGGAUCGACGUAAUGAUUAAUAGGGAUAGUUGGGGGCAUUAGUAUUCAAUUGUCGGAGGUGAAAUUCUUGGAUUUAUUGAAGACUAACUACUGCGAAAAGCAUUUGCCAAGGAUGUUUUCAUUAAUCAAGAACGAAAGUUAGGGGAUCGAAGACGAUCAGAUACCGUCGUAGUCUUAACCAUAAACUAUGCCGACUAGGGAUCGGAUGAUGUUAAUUUUUAAUGACUCAUUCGGCGCCUUACG